UGCCAGACUCCUACGGGAGGCAGCAGUGGGGAAUAUUGGGCAAUGGAGGAAACUCUUACCCAGCAAUGCCGCGUGAAUGAAGAAGGUCUUCGGAUUGUAAAGUUCUUUAAUUGGGGACGAAAAAAAUGACGGUACCCAAGGAAUAAGCCCCGGCUAACUACGUGCCAGCAGCCGCGGUAAUACGUAGGGGGCAAGCGUUAUCCGGAUUUACUGGGUGUAAAGGGAGCGUAGACGGCAGCGCAAGUCUGGAGUGAAAUGCCGGGGCCCAACCCCGGAACUGCUUUGGAAACUGUGCAGCUGGAGUGCAGGAGAGGUAAGCGGAAUUCCUAGUGUAGCGGUGAAAUGCGUAGAUAUUAGGAGGAACACCAGUGGCGAAGGCGGCUUACUGGACUGUAACUGACGUUGAGGCUCGAAAGCGUGGGGAGCAAACAGGAUUAGAUACCCGAGUA
rnacentral:rRNA from 1 species